rnacentral:rRNA from 1 species
GUGGAUUAGAUACCCGGGUAGUCCACGCCGUAAACGAUGAGAACUAGCCGUUGGACCCCUUGAGGGUUUAGUGGCGUAGCUAACGCGAUAAGUUCUCCGCCUGGGGAGUACGGCCGCAAGGCUAAAACUCAAAUGAAUUGACGGGGGCCCGCACAAGCGGUGGAGCAUGUUGUUUAAUUCGAUGCAACGCGAAGAACCUUACCACCCCUUGACAUCCUCGGAACUUGGCAGAGAUGCCUUGGUGCCUUCGGGAACCGAGUGACAGGUGCUGCACGGCUGUCGCCAACU